rnacentral:rRNA from 1 species
GACGAACGCUGGCGGCGUGCUUAACACAUGCAAGUCGAACGGAAAGGCCCUGCUUUUGUGGGGUGCUCGAGUGGCGAACGGGUGAGUAACACGUGAGUAACCUGCCCUUGACUUUGGGAUAACUUCAGGAAACUGGGGCUAAUACCGGAUAGGAGCUCCUGCUGCAUGGUGGGGGUUGGAAAGUUUCGGCGGUUGGGGAUGGACUCGCGGCUUAUCCGCUUGUUGGUGGGGUAGUGGCUUACCAAGGCUUUGACGGGUAGCCGGCCUGAGAGGGUGACCGGCCACAUUGGGACUGCGAUACGGCCCAGACUCCUACGGGAGGCAGCAGUGGAGAAUAUUGCACAGUGGGCGGAAGCCUGAUGCAGCAACGCCGCGUGCGGGAUGACGGCCUUCGGGUUGUAAACCGCUUUCGCCUGUGACGAAGCGUGAGUGACGGUAAUGGGUAAAGAAGCACCGGCUAACUACGUG